UUACUCCCUUUGGGUACUCCUAGGGCUCUAAAUGUUGCCCAUCUAGCUUGUCCACCACAAGCUUCACCAAGACACCAUUUGCAACCCCAAAACCUCUCUUGAAAUUUGCCAACCACUUAAAUGAGAUGGGCUUGCUUUGGUGAGGGUUAAUGGAUGUGGGUGCACUAGAAACUCUUUCUAGUAUUUUGAUUCAAGAGAAAACAAAGCUUUCUCUUAGCUAUCAGUGGAAGAAAAAUAGGAGAGGG
rnacentral:misc_RNA from 1 species